rnacentral:rRNA from 1 species
UACGGAGGAUGCGAGCGUUAUCCGGAUUUAUUGGGUUUAAAGGGUGCGUAGGCGGAUCGUUAAGUCAGUGGUCAAAUUGAGGGGCUCAACCCCUUCCCGCCAUUGAAACUGGCGAUCUUGAGUGGAAGAGAAGUAUGCGGAAUGCGUGGUGUAGCGGUGAAAUGCUUAGAUAUCACGCAGAACCCCGAUUGCGAAGGCAGCAUGCCGGCUUCCGACUGACGCUGAAGCACGAAAGCGUGGGGAUCGAACAGG